AUGGCUGCAGUGGGUAGAGAUCCCACAUUAGUUGAGGUCUUCUUAAAGAAUCAUAGAAAAAAGGACUCCUCAUGGGUGGAUGACAGAUCCAAGAAGACAUAUGAAACAACAUUUCAAGAGAAACUAAAGCAAGCCUCUCAAAUAGGGGAGGCAUCUAAUAGUGGCCCAAAGGAAGUUGACCCUGCAACUCGGCUAAAUUUUUAG